UGGGGAAUAUUGCACAAUGGGCGCAAGCCUGAUGCAGCCAUGCCGCGUGUAUGAAGAAGGCCUUCGGGUUGUAAAGUACUUUCAGCGGGGAGGAAGGGAGUAAAGUUAAUACCUUUGCUCAUUGACGUUACCCGCAGAAGAAGCACCGGCUAACUCCGUGCCAGCAGCCGCGGUAAUACGGAGGGUGCAAGCGUUAAUCGGAAUUACUGGGCGUAAAGCGCACGCAGGCGGUUUGUUAAGUCAGAUGUGAAAUCCUCGGGCUCAACCUGGGAACUGCAUCUGAUACUGGAAAGCUUGAGUCUCGUAGAGGGGGUAGAAUUCCAGGUGUAGCGGUGAAAUGCGUAGAGAUCUGGAGGAAUACCGGUGGCGAAGGCGGCCCCCUGGACGAAGACUGACGCUCAGGUGCGAAAGCGUGGGGAGCAAACAGG
rnacentral:rRNA from 1 species